rnacentral:rRNA from 1 species
UUCUCGAGCUCACUCCCAACCCCUGUGACAUACCUAUACGUUGCCUCGGCGGAUCAGCCCGCGCCCCGUAAAAAGGGACGGCCCGCCCGAGGACCCCUAAACUCUGUUUUUAGUGGAACUUCUGAGUAAAACAAACAAAUAAAUCAAAACUUUCAACAACGGAUCUCUUGGUUCUGGCAUCGAUGAAGAACGCAGCAAAAUGCGAUAAGUAAUGUGAAUUGCAGAAUUCAGUGAAUCAUCGAAUCUUUGAACGCACAUUGCGCCCGCCAGUAUUCUGGCGGGCAUGCCUGUUCGAGCGUCAUUUCAACCCUCAAGCUCAGCUUGGUGUUGGGACUCGCGGUAACCCGCGUUCCCCAAAUCGAUUGGCGGUCACGUCGAGCUUCCAUAGCGUAGUAAUCAUACACCUCGUUACUGGUAAUCGUCGCGGCCACGCCGUAAAACCCCAACUUCUGAAUGUUGACCUCGGAUCAGGUAGGAAUACCCGCUGAACUUAAGCAUAUCAUAGGCGGAGGAAUACAACGCUUAAACCCCUG